rnacentral:rRNA from 1 species
CAAGAGCGUAUAUUAAAGUUGUUGCAGUUAAAAGCUCGUAGUUGGAUUUCUGGUACAAUGCGCCUGGCCCGCGACCGUCAGGUCUGUGAGUGCCGGUGCGCGUUUGCCAUCCUUCUAGAAAACGUUUCUACCCUUCACUGGGCCGGAUUCGCGAUCUAGAUCUUUUACUUUGAAAAAUUAGAGUGUUUAAAGCAGGCUUUUGCUAUGAAUACAUUAGCAUGGAAUAAUAAUCUAGGACUUCGGUGCUAUUUUGUUUGGUUUUCUUGGAACUGAAGUAAUGAUUGAUAGGAGUAGUUGGGGGUGGCGUAGUAUUGUAGCGGCCGACGAGGUGGAAAUUACUUGGUAUUCGCUCAAGACUAACUUAUGCGAAAG